CCAGUAACGGCGAGUGAAAAGGGAAAAGUCCAUCGCUAAAUCGUUUUGCCUCAGGCAUUAUGAGGUGUAGCGUAUAAGUCGUAAACUUUGAUCUUUUGUCUCAAACAAGUCCCCUUGACAGAGGUUCCACAGAAGGUGCAAGUCCUGUACGUUGAGAUAAUUGAUCGAUAUUUGCGUGCUUUAGAGUCGGGUUGUUUGGGAUCGCAGCCCAAAGUCGGUGGUAAACUUCAUCUAAGACUUAAUAUUGCCACGAGACCGAUAGCAAACAAGUACUGUGAAGGAAAGUUGCAAAGCACUUUGAAGAGAGAGUUAAAGAGGACGUGAAACCGGUAAGGUGGAAACGGAUAGAGUCGGCGUAUCAUUCAAKUAUUCAGUUACAUUAUUUUUAUGUUGUGAYCUCUGAGCUCCAGAUUGGGACAGAGGGAAUCAGCAUAAUUUUUUGUGRUGCAUUUACUUGAUUGGUGCUUGGGGAUGUUUGAGGCAGAUUUGUUUCCGUCGUUUUGAGGCCAGCUUGCUGGUACCCAAACGGUGUUAGCAUUUUUUGUCUUGGRCAUUUGAGUAUGGCUYACGUGYAUUUAUUGGACAGAUCUGAGUGUAAGUUACGGUCGCAUGCGACACGUGCUUUUCAAUUAGUUCGGUCCAGUUAAUGCUCUCGUACUCGUUCCCCAUGUAAAAGCCGGUCAUCUAUCCGACCCGUCUUGAAACACGGACCAAGGAGUUUAUCGUGUGCGCAAGUUUUUGGGUGUUAAAAACYUAAAAGCGAAAUGAAAGUAAAUGRCUCUUUAGAGUCUGAUGUGCGAUCUUGUAAAAAAGUGYAGCAUGGCCCCAUUCUAACUGUUUACAGUAGGGUGGCGGAAGAGCGUACGCGGUGAGACCCGAAAGAUGGUGAACUAUUCCUGAGCAGGACGAAGCCAGAGGAAACUCUGGUGGAAGUCCGAAGCGGUUCUGACGUGCAAAUCGAUCGUCUG
rnacentral:rRNA from 1 species